UAAGUAAAUCGGGUGACCGCCCUGGUUCGUAGAGAUCAGGGAGGAAAGUCCGAGCUCCACCGGGCAGGGUGCUGGGUAACGCCCAGGAGGGGUGACCCUACGGAUAGUGCCACAGAAACAUACCGUCCUUCUUCGGAAGGAUAAGGGUGAAAUGGUGAGGUAAGAGCUCACCAGCGGCCAGGUGACUGGUCGGCUGGGCAAACCCCACCCGGAGCAAGACCAAAUAGAGGGUUUACAGGGACGCCCGGCCCUACCCCGGGUUGGUCGCUUGACCCUGAUGGCAACAUCAGGGCUAGAUGGAUGGUCGCCGCUCCGAUUAUUUCGGAGUACAGGACUCGGCUUAUAGAUUUACUUAGCCC
rnacentral:RNase_P_RNA from 2 species